CCUACGGGAGGCUGCAGUGAGGAAUAUUGGUCAAUGGGCGCGAGCCUGAACCAGCCAAGUCGCGUGAGGGAAGAAGGUCCUAUGGAUUGUAAACCUCUUUUACAAGGGAGCAAAGAGCGGUACGUGUACCGCAUCGAAAGUACCCGAUGAAAAAGGAUCGGUUAACUCCGUGCCAGCAGCCGCGGUAAUACGGAGGAUGCGAGCGUUAUCCGGAUUUAUUGGGUGUAAAGGGUGCGCGGGCGGCGAUUUAAGUCAGCGGUAAAAUUUCGGGGCUAAACCCCGAUAAGCCGUUGAAAAUGGGGGGCUAGAGUGUGUGUGAGGCAUGCGGAAUGCGUGGUGUAGCGGUGAAAUGCAUAGAUAGCACGCAGAACGCCGAUUGCGAAGGCAGCAUACCGGGGCCUAACUGACGCUCAUGCACGAAAGCGUGGGUAUCGAACAGGAUUAGAUACCCUUGUAGUC
rnacentral:rRNA from 1 species